rnacentral:lncRNA from 1 species
UUCUACCUCAAUAGAAUCGGUAUCGACCAGGAUAGCUUCAUAAUAUCUGUGGGUUUUGAGUGGAUCCUCCGUGUCCACAAAAUUGUUGUUGGUGUAUACCGGUUUAAUUAACUGGUUGAGGGGGUAGCCUUCAUAGGCUUUAUCCAAGGCGAUGAUAGGCAUUACUUGAGUAGUAAUGAAUUUAAAUUCUUCCUUAGUAGGAGAGGAUGGAGUAGCUUUGGCUGUCGUAGGAUCGAC